rnacentral:misc_RNA from 1 species
AAAAGCUUCAAUUUGAUUCAAUCAAAUAAGCUUCUUACAUGAAUUCAUCGCAGUACAUGGAUAAGCAGAUCAUGGAUCUAUCGAAUUCACAGAACAGCAACAACAACAGUGACUUCAUCGAUCUCGUUAACCCUCAGGCGGAUCGUCACAUUAGCGGCGAUGAUCAGAAGAAAGAAGAUAUUGUUCCCAGUUACGAAUUUCAUCCAAUUCGCCCAAUUGGAUCUUCAUCGCCCAAAUCUAAUAUUGAU